UUUCUCAUAGCAUCUCUCUUUAAGUAAUCUUUCAGGCACAAGGUGAUAAAUUGUCUUUGUUUUAACUGUGUCUGCUGGCCAGACUCACAGCUCGGCAGGAGGCAGCUAGAGGAUUUUUAUUUUAGCCCAGUAAUUGAAAUUGCGAAUCUUCCAACGCAAUGCUGGGGGAAUUCAUUAGAUCUGAAUGAGAGAAUCUCUGUGACCCAAAUUUCUUACCUGCCUGCAACAGCGAUGGCGGCAGAGCAGGGAAUCGCGUUUGAUUUGAUGCCAGCACCCCAGACUCUAUUGCCAAGAUAAAUUUAAUAAUAGAAGGCGAACACCAAGAUGUUUAAAAUAAGGUAAAGCACUUUUCCUAUAUUGCUAUUUUCUGUAAUGCUAUUUUCAAAUAGCAAGUCUAUUUUCAGCAAAGUGUUGCUAUGGCUGUCUGAUGGUAAAAUGUUGGCCAUGAAAAAUAUUCUUCCCAUAUUUAUGAUGCAUUGUGUUCAGCCUCUCUAUUCCCAAUUCUGACUGCCA
rnacentral:lncRNA from 1 species